CUAAGGAUGCUUAGACGAGACAUCUCCAGAUAGCCUUGUGAUAUGGGGGCGUCGUGAUCUGUUCUCAGAGAUGAGAGAUGCGAAAUGGGAAUUAGUUCUACGGGUUUGUUAUAGUCUAAAGCGUCUGUGACCCAAAAGUGGUUAAAAACCAGAAGAACUCUGAGACCCGAAGUUUCUGUUGUUUUCCAGGAGAGCACUGUGGAAAUGGAAGAUAAUUCAAGGCAUGGCGGCCAGGAGGAGCAACCGAAGGAGCGGUGGCUGAGCAGGCACAGGAGGGCCUAGAGGAGCUAUCCCAUGCUGAAGGUCAGGAACGGUGGCGGUAAGGAGAUACCCCUCGUCCAAGGUAAGGAGCAGUGGCUGUGCUUUGCUGGAGCAGCCGUGAAGAGAUACCCCACGCCCAAGCAACUCUGAGAACUACACUUGAGACUGUGAUUCCGCUGUCAGCAGUGACAUUCACUUCUCAUUUUCUCUUCUGAUGAAUGACGGGAGCCAGCGUCAGCCGACAAUGAGAAGAAUCACUAAAUACAGUCAACAUGGAAUUCAGUUAAUGAAGAGGGCAAUCGCUUCUGUUCUGUAUAUGAUCAUAAUAUCUUCUGGCUAUAGGUUACCUGUAAUAAGAAAUAGUAGAAAGAGAAGAAACGGAAGAAGGGUGGGAGAAAAGAAAGUGAGGAGAGGAGGAGAGAAAAGCAGAGAGGAUACGACAGGGGAAGAUAAGUUUCUGUCAGUCUCUGUGAAGAGUAGAGUACCUCUGCUGACCUGUGAUGGAAAAGUAGCAGUGGAUUCUUCACCCACUGAGCUACCUGAGGAGGUCACGUCAGAGUACCCCCCUUGCGAUAUUAAGGCUGUAGUGUACUAAACACCGUCCCAGUGAAAGUCUUAAUGAUCUUUAGGUAUACAGGAGGCGGUCCUAAGAUGGUGGAGGAAUAGGAUGGGAAGACCACUUUCUCCCUCACAAAUUCCUCAAAAGAACAUUUCAACGCUGAGCAAACUCCACAAAACAACUUCUGAAUGCUGGCAGAGGACAUCAGGCAACCAGAAAAGCAGACCAUUGUCUUCAAAAACAGGGGUCUGUAUGUAGAAGCGGAGCACAGAGUUGUUGUUUUCCUUGCUGCCUCUUGCCAUUGUUCUAUGUCGACCCCAUCUCUUACAUUUGUGAAGAUCUACAGCUGUCCCUAUCCCGUGCCAGUGUGCCUUCUUUCAUAGUUGUGAACUCUGACUCCUCAAGCAUGUACCACAUAAUAAAA
ensembl:lncRNA